rnacentral:rRNA from 1 species
GACGAACGCUGGCGGCGUGCUUAACACAUGCAAGUCGAACGGAAAGGCCCUGCUUUUGUGGGGUGCUCGAGUGGCGAACGGGUGAGUAACACGUGAGUAACCUGCCCUUGACUUUGGGAUAACUUCAGGAAACUGGGGCUAAUACCGGAUAGGAGCUCCUGCUGCAUGGUGGGGGUUGGAAAGUUUCGGCGGUUGGGGAUGGACUCGCGGCUUAUCAGCUUGUUGGUGGGAUAGUGGCUUACCAAGGCUUUGACGGGUAGCCGGCCUGAGAGGGUGACCGGCCUCAUUGGAGCUGAGAUACGGCCCAGACUCCAACGGGAGGCAGCAGUGGAGAAUAUUGCACAAUGGGCGGAAGCCUGAUGCAGCAACGCCGCGUGCGGGAUGACGGCCUUCGGGUUGUAAACCGCUUUCGCCUGUGACGAAGCGUGAGUGACGGUAAUGGGUAAAGAAGCACCGGCUAACUACGUG